rnacentral:rRNA from 1 species
ACGAACGCUGGCGGCGUGCCUAACACAUGCAAGUCGAACGGAAUUAAGGGGCUUGCCCUUUAAUUUAGUGGCGCACGGGUGAGUAACGCGUAGAUAAUCUGCCUGAUGAUUCGGGAUAACACUUCGAAAGGGGUGCUAAUACCGGAUAAGCCCACGGGGUCUUUGGAUUCUGCGGGAAAAGGGGGGGACCUUCGGGCCUUCUGUCAUCAGAUGAGUCUGCGUACCAUUAGCUAGUUGGUAGGGUAAUGGCCUACCAAGGCUACGAUGGCUAGCUGGUUUGAGAGAAUGAUCAGCCACACUGGAACUGAGACACGGUCCAGACUCCUACGGGAGGCAGCAGUGGGGAAUUUUACGCAAUGGGCGAAAGCCUGACGCAGCAACGCCGCGUGAGUGAUGAAGGCUUUCGGGUCGUAAAGCUCUGUCGAGGGGAAAGAAGUGUAUUGUGGCUAAUAUCCACGAUACUUGACGGUACCCCUAAAGGAAGCACCGGCUAACUCCGUGCCAGCAGCCGCGGUAAUACGGAGGGUGCAAGCGUUGUUCGGAAUUACUGGGCGUAAAGCGCGUGUAGGCGGUUUCCUCAGUCUGGUGUGAAAGCCCGGGGCUCACCCCCGGAAGUGCAUCGGAUACUGGGAGACUUGAGUACCGGAGAGGAGGGUGGAAUUCCUGGUGUAGCGGUGAAAUGCGUAGAUAUCAGGAGGAACACCGGUGGCGAAGGCGGCCCUCUGGACGGAUACUGACGCUGAGACGCGAAAGCGUGGGGA